GUAAGGAAUAUUGGUCAAUGGGCGGAAGCCUGAACCAGCCAUGCCGCGUGCGGGAAGAAGGCCCUCUGGGUUGUAAACCGCUUUUGUCAGGGAAGAAUGACCGAGAUUUAUCUUGGGAGGGACGGUACCUGAAGAAUAAGCACCGGCUAACUCCGUGCCAGCAGCCGCGGUAAUACGGAGGGUGCAAGCGUUAUCCGGAAUCACUGGGUUUAAAGGGUACGUAGGCGGUGAUAUAAGUCAGGUGUGAAAUGCCGCAGCUUAACUGCGGAACUGCACUUGAUACUGUAUGACUUGAGUAGGGUGGAGGUACACGGAAUGCAUCAUGUAGCGGUGAAAUGCUUAGAUAUGAUGUAGAACACCGAUAGCGAAGGCAGUGUGCCACACCUUUACUGACGCUGAGGUACGAAAGCGUGGGGAGCGAACAGGAUUAGAAACCCUAGUAGUCC
rnacentral:rRNA from 1 species